ensembl:lncRNA
AGCUGAAAGGUGAGGCUGAGAGGCUGGGAACCGGAGGCUUGUGGUGCCAGGAGGGACCAGAGACUGAGGCUGGAGACCAGGGGCCUGCAGCACCGGACCAGAGGACCAGGAAUCUAUUUCUGGGGGAGCCAUGCUGAUGGAGGAGCCGUGCUGAAGGAGCUGCUGGAGGAGUCGUGCUGAGGGCCUGCCUGCUGGUGGAGAAGUCGUGCUGAGGGCCUGCCUGCUGGAGGAGCUGGUGGAGGAGUCGUGCUGAGGGCCUGCCUGGUGGAGGAGCUGGUGGAGGCCCUGCCUGGUGAAGGACGUCUGUCGUGGGGUAGAUGGAGCUUGACGCUCUGAAACCAGGAAUCUGUCUGAGGAGAGCUGCUGGAUUCCUCAACGUGUUUCUGGAGCGGAGGCGAGCUGGUAGGGGAGCCGUGAAUCUGGAGGAUGACCAUCACUCUACCAACAAGGAUUACGUUGGGGCCAGACUCGCGCUGUUUGUUCCAGACCAGGACUCGGGCUGUGGUGAGCUGAUGGAGGAGCCAAGACUCUGGAGGACGACAUCACUCCACCAACCAGGAUCCUCACCAGGAAUCUGGAGGACUGAUGGAGAAGCCGUACAUCUGGAAGGCAAAUCCUGAGGACGACCAGGUCUCUACCAUCAAGGAUUCCUCGUCAGUUUGCAUUAUCUGGACAUAGUGGACUAGACACGCCUGAGCUGAACCUCACCUGAUCCUGUUUGGUUGGGGGUAGAUACACCUGAGCUGAACCCGCCCUGAUCCUGACAGCCUGCUGGUCCCGUCUCCUCAGUUCAUCUGCGCCUCGUCCUCCAGAAGACCUGCUGAGCUCAGCAGUCUGAGGCUGAUGGAUCAAUGACCUCCAGUGGGAGUGAUCUUCUUGACCCCACAUGUAACCGUGUGCUUCCACACGCCUUUCCCUCACGUCUGUCACUAACCUCACUACUUCACUACUCUCUACUGCUUCCUCUUCUUCUUCCUUCUCUGUUGUUCGAACCUUUACACUGAAGGCGCGUCUUCCUGCCCUCAGAGGGUUCAGCGUUAGGGUUGAGAGUCAGGGUUUAGAGUCAGGGACAGAGCUGGUCAGGGAGGACUGUUUUUACACAAACCUCUUCACUUCCUUUCGGAAUGGUGGUGACAUUUUGAAAAGAUUCAUUUGGGAAAAUGUUUUCCUCUGCUUUCCUUUACAAAAUUGUAAUAAACUUCUGUCAAGUGUUUUGUUUAUAUAUUAAAAUUCCACAUUUACUUCUACAUGUUUGGUGCGGUUCAUUUAAUUGUCCUUUAACUUGGUUAACGUCAAGCUAAACUCCUGCAAUACAUUAAAUAUACAUGAUUGUUAUUCAGCAAUGCUCACAUCAAACCUCCAUUACUACAAAAUUCAAACCUAUUCAUGUAUUUAACAAUGUACAUGCUGCCCUGCUGGCCAUUCUGCUACUACAACACGUUCAAUCCAACAACCCGUCUCGCAUCAAUGUAGGUACUAUAGCUACGUUGGUUCAAACGGAAAAUGUAGUUUGGUGUGAGACUGUUGUCCAGCUGAGGGAGCUGUCGUACACCAUAAUUAUACAGGAAUGUCUGUGCAUUUAUAUUUGGGGAUAAGCAGCAUAGCAGUCGGGUAGCUAUUUUAAGCUAUAAUAAACUGUAUUUUGUAUUUUUCCAACGCCCCCCCACUCCAGCUCAUACUUAGCCAGUAUCCUGUGUAUUUGUACUCGUACUGAGCCAGUAACCUGUGUAUUUAUACGCAUACUGAGCCAGUAACCUGUGUACUUGUACUCGUACUGAACCACUAUCCUGUGUCAUACUGAGCCAGUAUCCUGGAUACUAGCUCAUACUUAAGCAGGUGUCUAAGACACUUACUUAAUU